rnacentral:rRNA from 1 species
UACGUAGGUGGCAAGCGUUAUCCGGAAUUAUUGGGCGUAAAGAGCGCGCAGGUGGUUAAUUAAGUCCGAUGUGAAAGCCCACGGCUUAACCGUGGAGGGUCAUUGGAAACUGGUUGACUUGAGUGCAGAAGAGGGAAGUGGAAUUCCAUGUGUAGCGGUGAAAUGCGUAGAGAUAUGGAGGAACACCAGUGGCGAAGGCGGCUUCCUGGUCUGCAACUGACACUGAGGCGCGAAAGCGUGGGGAGCAAACAGG